rnacentral:rRNA from 1 species
GCCGGAGGAUGCAAUCGUUAUCCGGAAUUAUUGGGCGUAAAGCGUACGUAGGCGGCUUAUCAAGUCUGGGGUCAAAGACCGCAGCUUAACUGUGGAAAGGCCUUGGAAACUAGUGAGCUGGAGUGAGGUAGGGGUUGCGGGAAUUCCCGGUGUAGCGGUGAAAUGCGUAGAUAUCGGGAAGAACACCUGAGGCGAAAGCGCGCGACUGGGCCUUAACUGACGCUGAGGUACGAAAGCUAGGGGAGAGAAUGGG